rnacentral:rRNA from 1 species
UACGUAGGGUGCAAGCGUUGUCCGGAAUUAUUGGGCGUAAAGAGCUCGUAGGCGGUCUGUCGCGUCGGCUGUGAAAACCUGGGGCUCAACUCCGGGCCUGCAGCCGAUACGGGCAGACUAGAAUUCGGUAGGGGAGACUGGAAUUCCUGGUGUAGCGGUGAAAUGCGCAGAUAUCAGGAGGAACACCGGUGGCGAAGGCGGUUCUCUGGGCCGAUAUUGACGCUGAGGAGCGAAAGCGUGGGGAGCGAACAGG